GUUAAUAGUGCAUUGUUUAACCUACAAAUAAAAGACCCAGAGCUACCACAUCAAACCAGAAAGGAUGAAAGCAAAGAAAAAUUUGUUGCUGAACAAUCAUAUGGUAAUAGCGCUAGCUUAGACCACAUGUUGAACAAUGGAAAAGAUGCUGUAGGUUUGAAUUGUGAUGCCCACACAUCCAGAGUUCACACAGAUCAUGACUUAUCGCACAAGAAGGACGAAGCGGAAGAAAUUGUCAACUCAGAGUUUACCACUCCACACAAACUUCAUGCAAUGUUUACAGGAAUCAAUAACAUGG